rnacentral:sRNA from 1 species
UUAAAAAUAUUUGAUAUAAAAAAUAUAUCAAAACAUUUGUUUUGUUAAUUACAGGUGGAAAACGUAAAAAUAUCAACUUUUUCCAAAAUAAUAAUCUAUUAGUAACAUAUGAGUAUUUAACUAUUUAUAAUUUUCUUUACUGUUUAGUUUUGUAUUGAGAUAUGAAGAAAUGGUAUGGAGAACCAAAGAUCGACCGAGAUGACAGGGCUAAGAUAUGAGUCUUGAAAAAAUAUUUUUCAUUCUUAUGUUUUGCUUGGUUUUUUCUUAUUAUUUGCUUGGGACGAGUUGGAAGAUAGAAGCUGAGACUGUCUCAACUCAGGGACGUUUUUCCUUGCGGCGCUCAAGACAAAAGCAGACGCAGCUCCAACCAAAACAAGAAAGAAGAAUGAGGCGAUCACACACAUGAAAAUAUAAAUGGUAGAGUGAGACUCGGACUCAUAUUGUGGAAAAUCAGGUUUAGUGAUGUUGAACAUUGUGGUGGUGAGUGUUUAAGUUGUUCUUCAGUAAACGCAUUUCAAUCAUCUAUAUAGAAUAGAGAAGUUACUUAUUAAUCAAAAAGCUGCAGAUGUUAGUUCGACAAAAUAUCAAUUUUACUAAGAGAAGAAUGAGAAACAUUGGAGGUUGAAAAAGUUAUUAUGGUAUUUAGAGGAAAUUUGUGUUGAGCAUAGCACAUUCCCUGCAAAAGUGAAAGGAAAAGGCGUAAAAUUUUUGUUGUCUUGAGUUAGUACAAGAAUGGUGGUCGGAUUUACAAUUUUUUACUAAAUAAAUACUUUGUAUUUUUUUGGGAUUGAGGUUAUUGUUUGAUGGCUAAGAAAAAUCGAAGCUUUAAAAUUGGGUUAAGUGAAAGUGUUUUCAUUACUUAGAGCUAUAGCUUCUUUUGGUUGAUGAUAACAAUGGAGCAGCUUGUUUACUACUUUUAUAAAACAUAAAACAUACAUUUGUUCAUUCUUAUUUUUUGGUUUUUUCCCCAGAUUAUUUGCUUAUUU